ensembl:lncRNA
UUGUUGAUUUGUUGGUGGCCUAUUAAACAAACUGAUUAUAAUAGAAAUGGCCAGGCUGCUCAGAUCAGUUAGUAUAAUCCGUCGAGCACCAAAGACAUCACCAUAAAUCCCUUUAGCACAGAAACAAACCAGAUUUACCAGUAACGGUUCAUUUAAUUUGAAUCUAAAAUAUGAGUAGGUUAAAUGUGUAUCAGAUUAAUCAGUGUUUACUUUUUUUUUUUUUUGGUUGAAGUUAACAAGGAACUCCUCUUGGGUACUUCCAUGGUUCCUCUUGGAAAUAUUUGAGAAUGGUGAGAAUCACCUGGAUACUUUACUUUGCGCCAGCACACACACUGAGACCUUCCAACAGUCAUAUACUGACAUAUGACCCAGUAUUAAAUACAACUUGUAUAUAGCUAUCUUUCCUGUACACAUCAGACUACAUGUACCAUGUGGAGCUACAGCAAACCUGUCCUCCAAAACUUGUGAUAGCCAAGUGAGAGGGGCUCAGGUGCUAGAGAUGCAGGAGUUUACUAACGAACGUUGCCCAGUUGGCCAGUAAACAUCUUACUGGAGCUGCCAAACUGAGGUCUGUCUCUCCACUGCACCCUAUGGACACACAGCUGUGUAUUACAGCACGCUUCAGGAAUCCCACCAUGGCUUCUGCUCAAUCAAA